rnacentral:lncRNA from 1 species
GCGUCUCGUGGAAUCUAAACCAUCAAACAGGAAAAUGACCUGGUUACAACACAAUAGCAAAGAGGAACGUUUGCAAAGAGCAAUGUCGCAUUGUCCUGUAGGCUCAGGAUGCCGCUGAUUCCCAUCAAAUUUCUCCCAUCCUGACUGUCUGAUGGUUGCAGAAAGACCCAAAGAAACUGUAUACACCCCAAGGACACCCAAGGCUCAGCUACUGCAACCAAGAAGAGAUGAUACUCUGAACAUUGGUUGUGGAAUGGUCUCUCCAAAGGCUUCUGGCUGCUUCUUCACAGUCCCCAUCAGCGUUCAGAACACUUUCUGUAUUUCCUUCAGCCACAGAAACCUGGACCCCAGCAAUGCUAAAUGAGUUGUUAUUUUAGUCUAGACUCACUGACCCAACAUGUGGGCAGAUGUGGUAACUGUGUUAUCCAAGAGUUGCCAGCAACCACCCAUUCAACUGCCUCUUAUCAUGCAUCUUAUGUAUGGUCAGCCACAACACAUUAUCUGAAUCUUGAGGUGAGACAGUGAAAAUAAACAUAAGAGAUCAAUGUAGUCUUGGAACAUACCACUAAGUAGACUGCUCACAUUGCGGCUGGGUGAGGUGGUACAUGCCUUUAAUCCCUGUGCUCUGGAGGCAAAAGGCAAAGACAAGAGGAUCGAGAUCUCAUCUCAAAAUAUCCAGGGCUUGGCACUGAUGAGGCUGCUGA